CCCUACGGGGGGCAGCAGUAGGGAAUAUUGCUCAAUGGGGGAAACCCUGAAGCAGCAACGCGCCGGGGAGGAUGAAGGUUUUCGGAUUGUAAACUCCUUUUGUUAGAGAAGAUAAUGACGGUAUCUAACUAAUAAGCACCGGCUAACUCCGUGCCAGCAGCCGCGGUAAUACGUAGGGUGCAAGCGUUACUCGGAAUCACUGGGCGUAAAGAGCGCGUAGGCGGGAUUACAAGUCAGAUGUGAAGUCC
rnacentral:rRNA from 1 species